CGAUCUAGUGAAAGGGAAGAAGAGUCUUGACACCGUAAAUCUGGAUCCGUUUCACUGAACAAAAUUUAAAAAUCGUGGCUGGGGCAUCUCCUCUGGGGGACCGACUGCUUCAUAGUCACGCAGUGGAGUUGACAGUGUAUUUUACUGAGCAAGCUGGUUAAAAGAGCACAUAAAGAGGAAAUGACUAAUGGCACUGACAACAGAGAAGUUACCUUUUUUAAAAAAAGAACGGGAGAAACAUGGUUUUGUUGUGAUCCAACCUCCCCUGAGAAGAGUCAUCAUGCCAUCCCUUUCACCUCUGCACCAUGUGAAACCUACAUCCAUCGCUAGAUUCAUAAAUUGUAUGCUUAAGGCAGGCAUUGUUCAAUUAAAACAAACAAGUUACCUAACUUAGAAGAGAGUCUAGGUUAUUCAAGGAGUUACAAAACAUGCAUUUGGCCUGUGUUUCACAAAGUGAUGUUCUUUACUUUUCACCUGGGAUAAUUAAAUCCAGUGAGCAGCCAGUCCUUAAUCAAUUUUGGUUUCAGGUUCUCAUAUGCUUGCAAAAAAUUCUCAUGAAUAAACAACAGGUGCAUUGUGAAACAUGAUAUGCUGGCCAACAAGUAUAAUUCAAUAGCAUUCAUUAUUUACCAAAUCAUACCAUUUAAAGAGAAGACAGAUGCCUUACAUAGCAGUAGUGACUGUUACAGUCUUAGAGCAUACUGACAAAGUAAGCUCGAUAUUUUUUCCAGGCUUGAAGAGAUACUACAGUUCAUAAGAAUACACUCUUUAUGAACUUCAGAAUUUUAACAAAUUGUUGUGUUUCCUGAGGACUUCAUAAAUGUCAGUGUGCACUAUUAUCUACACAUGCCAUUUUCUUUUAAAAGAAAAAGGCAGUAUGUAUCAUAGGAACUAGGAACACAUAGGAGGGACUGUUCAAUAUCAGAGUGCUCCAGAAGAGAGCAGAAACCAUGAAUACUCCAAAUAAGAAUGAGGUAAUAUCUUUUAUUGAACCAACUUCUGUCGGUGAGAGAGACAAGCUUUCAAGCCACAUGGAGUUCAACAGAAGUUGGUCCAAUAAAAAUAUAUUACCUCCCCAACCUUGUCUCUAAUAUCCUGGGACUGACAGGGCUACAACUACAGUGCAUACCCCAAAUAAGAAUGACAUUCUCAGAGGAGCUUAAACUGAAAAUGGAUGUCAAUUUCUCUUAAAUCCCUAGCUUCUUACUGCAAGGUUGCUCUAUUCACAGAACAUGUUUAAGUGUUCACUUCAGGAUAUCACUAUAGUUGCAAGGCAUAUGAUUUAAUACAGUAAAGUUGUGAUUGUCCAAACCUCCCUUUUCUAAGGAGCUGCCUGUUAUAUGGCUCCCUAUUCAUAGAAUAUCAGAGUUGGAAGGGACCUCAGGAGGUCAUCUAGUCCAACCCCCUGCUCAAAGCAGGACCAGUCCCCAAUGUUUGCCCCAGAUCCCUAAAUGGCCCCCUCAAGGAUUGAGCUCACAACCCUGGGUUUAGCAGGCCAAUGCUCAAGCCACUGAGCUAUCCCUCCCCCCUAUUAUGCUACUGGUUCUCCCAGUACCACUCUGGUAAUCAAGUUUUAUUGGGUUUAUUAUGUAAAUCAUCCAACACUGGCUUUUAAUUUUUAAUCAACUCACUAUCGUUAAACAUUUGUAAGUUUAUCAGCUGCGACCUCUAGAGGGUGCCCUGAGCUUCAAGUUUGGAAGCUCUAUUUAGGCUCACAGAAAGUCAGUGAUGUUCCUUUCUUCAAUCUGAAUUCAGAAUCCCACAAGGAGUGGGAGAGAUGCUAUUUUGGAGUUCCCCAAAUUGUGAGACACCUUGUUACCCCUGUCUCAGCAAAAGGGGGGCUUGCUUGCACUUAGCUCCCUGAUAUUAGCAGUCUAUCAGCCAUCCAAACAAUCUCCACAGAACUCCGCCAGCCCUUACUUUGCCUUGCAGGUUAACAAUAAGUGCACCCCAUUCCUUGAACCCCUCUGAAAGUGUCCCGCUAUAGUAUCCAGCCCAUCACACGCACACACACACACGGAAAUUACCAGGUAAACUGUCCCCAGAGAGACUGUGUACAGUACAUGUCUGGCACAACUCAGCAUCAGGUCUUUUAUAACAUUACAGCACUGAAAUAUAUUUAUAGUGGAAUACUCAUAAGUUUAUUAUCAAAGGUUUAAGUUUUAAGAGACAGCGAGUAAAGAUAAUAAGUGGAAACAGAAAUGGUUACAAAUAUAAAACAAAACUUAUAGCAAUCCUAGCCCUACACUUAACAAGGAUUAUGUUUCCUAAUUAAUAAAGGAGAUUUUCUGCCAAGCAUUCAGUCCUUGACAAAGCUGUUGAUUUCCAGUCAAAGUUAGGAUCCAAACUUCCAUGAACAGAACACCCCACACCCUUCAAAGGGUGUCCCCUUUGUCUUACUUGUCUCCCAAUUAUAGUUCAGUAAACCUUUGAAA